CAGACACAUAUAAAGUCUCUGGCGUGUCAGCUGUAAUUAGCGAAGUGACUGAAUAAUAGCUUGGAAUACGCAGAAACAGCGCUGGCGCAAUCAAAAGUGUCAGAUAAUUUAAGACGGAACGGAAGGUCGCUGUUGAUACUGUCAUUAUGUUCGGCGGGGAUUAUACUUAAGUACUGUUGUUGGGCGUCAUGGUGGCAAAGACGAAAAAGGCAAAGUGUGCACAUUACACGGGAGUGAUGAGCAUUAAAAUUUGCGAACAAAAUGCUAUGCAGAUAAGGAUAAAAUAAGGCGCUCUCAUAAACGAGCCGCGCUUUCUUGAAAAUGUGAUAAGCGCCGCUGAAUGGUUGUCAUACAUCAGUUUGAGAGUAAAUCAAUGACUUGCACGUCAAAAGACGUGAAAGACAGAACAAUUUCUGUGGAGUAGCACCAUCAUGAUAUGAAUGUUCCAUAACGCUAAAACAUUUUUCAGCUUUCUGCUUAACGUACUGCACUGUUUACAACAUUAUAACCUCUGAACCUGUUGGUCGUAGGCGUCUGAGUUUUCACAUAGUAAAAAUAAGUGAGAAGUUCACUUGCUUCGACGUGGCGGUAAAUGAAGAGAAUAUCAAUGAAGGAGCUAAACGUUCUGUUUAUUGGUAGCAGUUACGAAGACUGGGAAGGAGCCAACAGUUUUGUUUAUUGGUAGCAAUUACGAAGACUGGAUUGACAGUACCUGCUACACAGUAUAAAAGUGCAAACACACUUGCUUUUGUUACGUGUUUCAAAUCAGUAAAGAGAAAAUAAUGCGUUUUCAUAUUCUGUAAUAAAUUACAUUCAUAUGAUUAGUGAAAAGCCAUCAACUGUGAAGAAUUCAGAUACUUUGUAAUAGCAGUGACAACAGAUACCAUCCACUAUGUUUACUUGUUGAUUGAAGCCAUCUGUGAUCAUUGAAUAUUCAGAAAAGACUGAAGUUUGGCAAUAAGCUAUACACAGCACUAAUAUAGUUACCAUAUUUAUUGCCACUAUUUUAGUGUACUUAUCUGAAAUUGUCUCAUGUUGAGAACAAUGUAUGUCUUCCAUUUUUGUGCUUGUGUGAAAAAUUUCCACAGUUAAAUUAUUAUACUAGGAUUUAUAUUACUCAUUAAUGUACAGAAAAACACUUAAAAUGAUGUGCAAUAAUACGUAUAUUUAUGGAGAUUUAUUUAAACAAAACUAUUACAGUGGCAGACACGGAUUGUCAGAUGCAACUUAAUGGAUCAAACAAUGGAAAAUCCAGGACGGAAUGCAACAAUAUUAUGAAAAUAUUAUGCAAUUUACACAGGCUACACAUGUUUCUACAAUUUCAGACUUUUUUGUCAAUUCGUAUAGACUACACAAUAAAGAUGGUACAGUAGUAAAAUCUGAUCUUUGUAGUCAAAUUUAACUAUGCCACAUUGAGACCAGCCUUUCUAUUUCUCUGUUCCAGUGUUCUCUUGUUUCCCGAUAUGUCUGUCAAUAACUUGCUAAAUAGUUACAUCUACAGGGUUCCAAAUUUCUUCCUCCUACUUUUACACUCAAGGAAACAGGUUCAGUGACUUCACCAGUGAAGUCUGAGAAUACUUCACUGGUGAUGCUGAACUGUCAAAGGAAACUGAAGCAUGAAUUUAUAUUUAGUUUUGAGAUUCAGUUGUAAUAAAUGCCUGAAAUUUAAA